ACGAACGCUGGCGGCAGGCUUAACACAUGCAAGUCGAGCGAGGACUUCGGUUCUAGCGGCGGACGGGUGAGUAACGCGUGGGAACGUGCCCUUUUCUACGGAAUAGCCUCGGGAAACUGAGAGUAAUACCGUAUACGCCCUUUUGGGGAAAGAUUUAUCGGAGAAGGAUCGGCCCGCGUUGGAUUAGGUAGUUGGUGGGGUAAUGGCCUACCAAGCCGACGAUCCAUAGCUGGUUUGAGAGGAUGAUCAGCCACACUGGGACUGAGACACGGCCCAGACUCCUACGGGAGGCAGCAGUGGGGAAUCUUAGACAAUGGGGGCAACCCUGAUCUAGCCAUGCCGCGUGAGUGAUGAAGGCCUUAGGGUUGUAAAGCUCUUUCAGCUGGGAAGAUAAUGACGGUACCAGCAGAAGAAGCCCCGGCUAACUCCGU
rnacentral:rRNA from 1 species